UACGAAGGGGGCUAGCGUUGCUCGGAAUCACUGGGCGUAAAGCGCACGUAGGCGGAUCUUUAAGUCAGGGGUGAAAUCCUGGAGCUCAACUCCAGAACUGCCUUUGAUACUGGGGAUCUCGAGUCCGGAAGAGGUGAGUGGAACUCCGAGUGUAGAGGUGAAAUUCGUAGAUAUUCGCAAGAACACCAGUGGCGAAGGCGGCUCACUGGCCCGGUACUGACGCUGAGGUGCGAAAGGCGUGGGG
rnacentral:rRNA from 1 species